GAGGAAGGCGGGGAUGACGUCAAAUCAGCACGGCCCUUACGUCCAGGGCGUACACACGUGCUACAAUGGCCGGAUACAAGAGGGCAGCUACCUGGUGACAGGAUGCAAAUCUACCAAAGUCGGUCUCAGUUCGGAUCGGAGUCUGCAACCCGACUCCGUGAAGUUGGAUUCGCUAGUAAUCGCGCAUCAGCCAUGGCGCGGUGAAUACGUUCCCGGGCCGUU
rnacentral:rRNA from 1 species